GCGUCAGUGGUCUAGUGGUUAGGGCCCCUCCCUUCCAAGGUUGCGGGAGGGGCUCGAUUCCCUUCUGAUGCA